UCCUCGGUAGUAUAGUGGUGAGUAUCCGCGCCUGUCACGUGCGAGACCCGGGUUCAAUUCGCGGCCGGGGAG
rnacentral:tRNA from 1 species